GUACUCGGAGAAUAAGCCACGGCUAACUACGUGCCAGCAGCCGCGGUAAUACGUAGGUGGCAAGCGUUAUCCGGAUUUACUGGGUGUAAAGGGCGAGUAGGCGGGAUAGCAAGUCAGAUGUGAAAUACCGGGGCUUAACCCCGGAGCUGCAUUUGAAACUGUUAUUCUUGAGUGGUGGAGAGGCAAGUGGAAUUCCCGGUGUAGCGGUGGAAUGCGUAGAUAUCGGGAGGAACACCAGUGGCGAAGGCGACUUGCUGGACACUAACUGACGCUGAGGAGCGAAAGCGUGGGGAGCAAACAGGAUUAGAUACCCUGGUAGUCCGCACAGUAAACGAUGGAUACCCGCAGUCGGCGACACAAUGUCGGCUGCCAAGCGAAAGCAUUAAGUAUCCCACCUGGGGAGUACGCCGGCAACGGUGAAACUCAAAGGAAUUGACGGGGGCCCGCACAAGCGGAGGAACAUGUGGUUUAAUUCGAUGAUACGCGAGGAACCUUACCCGGGCUUGAAUUGCAGGCGACGGGGCGAGAGAUUGCCCUUUCUUCGGACGCCUGUGAAGGUGCUGCAUGGUUGUCGUCAGCUCGUGCCGUGAGGUGUCGGCUCAAGUGCCAUAACGAGCGCAACCCCUGUCUCCAGUUGCCAUCAGGUGAUGCUGGGCACUCUGGAGAUACUGCCAUCGCAAGAUGUGAGGAAGGUGGGGAUGACGUCAAAUCAGCACGGCCCUUACGUCCGGGGCUACACACGUGUUACAAUGGGGGACACAGAGGGCCGCCACCGGGUGACCGGGCGCCAAUCCAUCAAAAUCCCUCUCAGUUCGGACUGGAGUCUGCAACCCGACUCCACGAAGCUGGAUUCGCUAGUAAUCGCGCAUCAGCCAUGGCGCGGUGAAUACGUUCCCGGGCCUUGCACACACCGCCCGUCAAG
rnacentral:rRNA from 1 species